GCAAGUCGAACGGUCUCUUCGGAGAUAGUGGCGCACGGGUGAGUAACACGUGGGAAUGUGCCCUUGGGUGCGGAACAACAGUUGGAAACGACUGCUAAUACCGCAUAAUGACUACGGUCCAAAGAUUUAUUGCCCAAGGAUCAGCCCGCGUUUGAUUAGAUAGUUGGUGAGGUAAUGGCUCACCAAGUCGACGAUCAGUAGAUGGUCUUAGAGGAUGAUC
rnacentral:rRNA from 1 species